ensembl:lncRNA
GAGCUGAAGAAGCAAGCAGCCAGGCCGAGCAGCAGAGCCCCAUGGGUCAGGGAAUGUCCCACCAUGGAGCUGGAGCUGACCAGCGACUGCUAUUGCAAGCACAACGCUUCCAUUUGCAGCAGAGAUCCCUAAUGAGCCGGGAGCACUGGAAUUCUUCCAGCGUGUAGCCCCUGUUGGCUGCCCUCCCAUUUGGUCAUGCUAAACGACGAGCUGGGAACCUAGCCUGGAUUUUUCUACCCUAAGGAAGACACAAAACCUCCUGAACCUCCAACCUUGGAGCCUUCCCACUGCCCCAGCCCGGCUCACAACGCUGCUGCUGUAUGCCCAUGAGCUGUACAUCCUUGGAAGGAAAAACCAGAAAGGGUUGGACCUGACUCUGCUCUUAACCACUGCUGCUCCCCUGCAGUCAACAGUCACAAAUCCUGCCCUGUAUCUGCACAACCCUUCAGGCACGGAUUGCAGCCUGAAGCUCCCUCUGACACGCUCUGAUCAGUCUGGCUGCAGUCCAGCAGGAAAAGCCAAGGGAUUUUGUUGUGAGAACUUUAGGUCAGCUUUCCCAAGUCCAUGGGAAAGGGCUGUCCCCUUGGGGCCAACGACGAGAGGCAUUCAGAUCUGCUCUCCCAGCAAGAGAUGGGGAGAGUUCAUUACAUAGCCUCAGCCUUUGCUUCCUUAAUGAUCCCAAACACAGUGGAACAGCUAUGGUCUCCCCUUGGCUUGCCCAGAUGCUCAGUCCACAUACACUACUAAGUGCUAGAAUGAGAAUUUGGCUUACAAGCAGGCAGCAUUCAGACCUGGGCCAGGAGGUACCAGAUGCAUAGAGUUCUAAAGCAAAUGCCAGCUUUCUGUCCAAAAAUGGUUCUGGUUCACAAAAUUAGGAACAGUUUCCAGUGAAUCUGAAGCAGAUGGAUGGGUUCACAGUAAAUUUAUGUCUUUGAGCCAUUUCAAGCAGUGGCACUUUAGGUUUUUUCUCCUUCCAGCUGCAUGUGGAGGCUGUGGUUGAGCUUUGUUGUGCCAGGUGCCAUCAAAC